CCUGCCUCAGCCUCCCGAGUAGCUGGGACUACAGGUGCAUGCCACCAUGCUCGGCUAAUUUUUGUAUUUUUAGUAGAGGCGGGGUUUCACCAUGUUGGCCAGGCUGGUCUCAAACUCCUGGCCUCAUGUGAUCUGCCUGCCUCAACCUCCCAAAGUGCUGGGAUUACAGGCAUGAGCCACCGCCCCUCACCUAAUUUGGUAUAGUUUCUUAAGCUUUUUGUUUUUCAUGAUAUUGACAAUUUUGAAGAAUACAAGCCAGUUAUUUUAUCAAAUGUUUCUCAAUUUGAUUUUGUCUCAUGUUUCUCCACUAUUAUGUUUAGGCUAUACAUCCCUGGCUAGAAUAUUAUGGAAGUCAUGUUGUGUCUCUUGGGGUAUCACCUAUGAAGGCCUGUCACCCCACCUGCCUCUUGCGGGUAAUUAUUUUGACCACCUGCCCAAGGUAUUGUUCAAUUUUUCCACCGUAUAUUUACUAUUUUCUCCCUUGGAGCUAAUAAGCAAUCUAUGGGGAAACACUGGUGCCACGAAGACAUCCUACUCCUCAUCCAAAUUUCUUUUUAAGUUUAGCUUUCACUGAUGAUUCUUGUCUCAACCAAUCUUUGCUAUAAUGAUUGCAGAAACAUAAUUUUCCAGCUCCACCCCCUCCUUCUGUGUUUAUUGUUCAGGAUUCUGCUGUCAGGAGGAGACUUCUCUUGUCCUUCAUUUUUUUUUUUGUUUUUCUAUUUAUUAUUAUCAUUUUUUAGAGACUGGGUCUAGUUCUGUUACGUAGGUGGGAGUGCAGUGGCAUGAUCAUAGCUCACUGCAGCCUUGACCUCCUGCGCUCAAGGAAUCCUCCUGCCUUAGCCUCCUGAGUAGCUAGGUCUAUAGGCUUGUGCCCCACGCCUGGUUAUUUUAAAUUUUUUUGUAGAGACAAGGCCUUACUAUGUUGCCCAGGCUGGUCUCAAACUCUUGGGCUCAAGUGAUCCUUCUGCCUCGGCCUCUCAAAUUGUUGGGAUUACAGGCAUGAGCCACUGAGCUUGAGACUGUUUAUUUUAUGGAUUCAUUGAUUCCUAUUAUAUUUAAUGAGUUAUAAUCCAUAGUGUCCUUAUUUAUUUUGACACUCAAAUUGUCCCAGAUUUGGGUCAUAGGAGCAUCUUCAGGCUGGCUCCUGUAUCCUUCGGCAUGCUCUCCUCUUCUGCUUUGAGGACGUCGUUGAUUUCUAGGCCUGUACAAUACUCCAGGCUCAUCUUGUGCCUUCCCUGUCUCAGCUCUAAGACUGUCGAUGUCUCUAACAAGCCCUCGGUCCUAGAUCUGGUUGUAGUUGUGUUAUUGCCAGUGGGUGUCAUUGCUUCUAGGGUGUUUCAGUGGCCAGAGUUGGGAUAAAUAUGUGUGUGUGUUCACAUAUGCGUAAAUAAAACCAUACAAUAACUAUAAUAUGUAUGUGUGUGUAUCUAUAUCUAUAUAUGGUUGUAUUAUUGGAAAUAUACAUUCAUAUUGAGAUCUCCAAUUCUAAUUCAAUGCAAAUGUUCUUCUUUCACCCAGGACUGUCCACAUAUUUUGCAGAGUCCAAGUAAAAUGUAGGACUCCGUUUUCAAAAUUUAUUCAGUAUUUCAAAACAGCAACAGCAGAGCAUUAACCCAAAUAAAGGGCAAGGGGUCCCUGCCAAACCUGGGGCCCCGCAUGAUGGCCUUGGUCUCAUGCGUGCGAAGCAGGCCUUGCCUCCAUUAUGCUCACAGGGAGAAUGCUGGCUCACAGCAUUGACAGCGUAACGCAAGAUUGUCUGCGGAAUUUGGGGACUAUGUGAAAGAAAAAAGCAGAAUUUAGAGGUGCUAAAUUAUAAAUCUUUCACCUUUUUUCUCUUGUCAUGUUGUUUUUUAAAAUUUGCUAUUUAAUGUUAUUCAAAAUAAAGAAACAAGUUAUUAGCAUGAGUUCUACAGUUCGUCCUUAUAUUGUGCAGUGACAAUUUUACAUGCAAACAUAAGCGCAUUUAACUCAUAAGUGGGUUCACCACAAUCACACAACUGGUAUUUCCCAGCUUGUAUAGGCAUAUGUAUCUUGUUCUUAUGAGAACAAUGGAGAUAUUGUACAAAACAAACUCACUGCUUUUAUUCACCGCUUGAUAACGCUCAUGUUCUGCCAUUGCUGGCUACCCUGGACGUACGUACUAAUGAGUGAGGAAGGUCUGAAAGGAGAAGGAACUGUGGGUUUCACUGGCUUUCCCUUUCCUCACUUCAGCAUGUGUACUUGGCUAAUACAGGGAAGUAGGAGGUCAGGAUGAGGCUCCUUAGUGGUUAGAGUUUCUUAGAACGUCAUUGCCUUCUUUCUGCAGUCAGGGCAAGUUCUGGGUCAAACAGAAAGUGCGGUGUCUCGGGGCUGUUGGCGUUCUUACUUACUCACUUGUAGACAUAGCACGCUUCCUUUCAGCCCCUUCUACUCACUUGCUGAAUUCCCAGCCAUCAAGGCAGCAAGCUUCACUUCUCAAACAUCAGUUCAAAGAUCAAAUUACUGGCCGGGUGCAGUGGCUCAUGCCUGUAAUCUCAGCAUUUUGGGAGGCCGAGGCGGGCGGAUCACCUGAAGUCAGGAGUUCGAGACCAGCCUGGCCAACAUGGUGAAACCCCGUCUCUACUAAAAAUACAAAAAUUAGCCAGGCAUGGUGGCGGGCGCCUGUAGUCCCAGCUACUCGGGAGGCUGAAGCAGGAGAAUCGCUUGAACCCGGGAGGCAGAGGUUGCAGUGAGCCGAGAUGGUGCCACUGCACUCCAGCCUGGGUGACAGAGCGAGACCCUAUCUCAAAAAAAAAAAAAAAAAAAAAAAUCAAAUUACUAAGAAUUUCAAGCUGGCAAUGACAGUGUUAAACCAUGUGUAGUGUCCUGAGCAUGGGGCCCUGUGCGACGGAGCAGUUCUCAUGUCCGCUGCUUUUCAAGGAUUUUCCUGUCUCCCCUCCCCCACGCCACUUCCAUGGUCUGGAAGCCACAGGCAGAGCCCCUAAGGUGGUUAUGUUGAGAUUAGGUGUGGAAUUCUUGGCAUCAUUUGAAGUUACUCUGUAUCCCAGUAAUGCUGAAAGCAUGUGUGUCUUAUUUGUACUUCUUGAUAAACUUCUUUUUGGAGAUUGCGUAGAGGGUUUUUAAUUCAAGUGGCUGCUAUUAUGCCUCAUGCUAGGAACCUUUUUGGGGGUGCUUUUCUAUACUAUUAUAAAAAUUAUAUAAGGCUAGGCACGGUGGCUCAUGCCUGUAAUCCCAGCACUUGAGGUCAGGAGUUUGAGACCAGCUUGGCCAACAUGGAGAAACCCCAUCUCUACUAAAAAUACAAAAAUUAGCCAGGGAUGUUUGCGUGCACCUGUAAUCCCAGCUACUCAGGAGGCUGAGGCAGGAGAAUCACUCGAACGCAGGAGGUGGAGGUUGCAGUGAGCCAAGAUUGUGCCACUGCACUCCAGCCUGGGUGACAGAAUGAUACUCCGUCUCCAAAUAAAUAAAUAAAUAGAAAUUAUAUAAAUAUAUUUAAUAAAAAAGACUAGUUAACUUUUUUUUUUGUACUGGAUCAUACAUUCACAAAUUUCAAACAUAAAGAGGUUAAAGAGGCUGGGUGAUGUGGCUCAUGCCUAUAAUCCCAGCACUUUGAGAGGCUGAGACAGGCCAAUUGCUUGAGCCCAGGAGUUCGAGACCAGCCUAGGCAACUUGGCAAAACCCUGUUUUUACUAAAAAUACAAAAAACUAGCUGGGCAUGGUGGUGCAUGACUGUAGUCCCAGCUAUUUGGGAGGCUGAGGUGGGAGGAUCACCUGAGCCCAGGAAGUUGAGGCUGCAGUAAGCUGAGAUCGUACCACUGCACUCCAGCCUGGGAGACAAGAGUGAGAUCCUGUCUCAAAAAAAAAAAAAAAAAAAAAAGUUAAAGAUUUUUAAAAAUUCAUUUUUUAAUUAUUUACUGCUAGUAUGUAGAAAUGACAAUUGCUUUUUAAAACAGUAGUUGUCAACAUGGGCUCCCCUCCCUGGGUCUUCAUCUUCCCUGAAUGGCGAUUCUUCAGUAUAUUUUUACUUCCCUAUAUGCCCAAGCAGAUUAUUUUUACGUUUUUUUUUUUUCAGCUGUUAGAUAAAGAUACUGAGAUACCAAGAACAUAAAUAACUUUUCCUAAACAAAUUUAAGACUGAAUUAUAGACUCAGUGAUCUAGGAUGAUUUAUGUACUUAUUUAUUUUCAGAGAUGGUUGCCCAGGCUGGUCUUGAACUCCUGGGCCCAAUAAAUCCUCUUGUCUCAGCUUCCUGAGCAGCUGGGACUACAGGUAUGCACCACUGCACCUGGAUAGGAUGAUUUGGUCUUGUCUUAAGGAGCAACACAUACAUAUAUUUUUUUCCCUUUUCCAGAUUCCGGGGUCUGUUAUCUGUGUGAUGAGGCCAUGGGGAAAAUGCAGUGAAUAUAGGCUUUGCCAUAGCCUAUGUCCUUAUGGGAAUGGUGAGGAGGCCUGGCCAUCUUGAGGCAACAGGCUGGAAGACUCAGCCCUGAAUGAGAGGAAAGAGCAGAGGGUGGGCAAGUGAGAAAUAAAGCAAGAUGGAAGCACUGGAGAGAGGAGCUGUAGCCAUAUCAGACCAACCUUGUUCAGUUUUUAGUGAACAAAGUUACGAGUUGUUUUUCAGUUGCUGUGGACCCCCAGAUUGAAGUUCAAGUAACGUGAGCAUGCCCAGGUGAACCAAUCGUGCAACCACGGGUGGAACCUAAGUGCUCAGACUGAGCAGUGGGGACUGAAUUAAGGAGCGAACACUGCAGGCAGGAUCCAGGAUCCAAUCAGAUUGGACCCUGGUGCCACCCCAUGGCAGGAUUCAGUCAGAUCAUGCCUCCCAGUAUCAUCUCAUCGCAAGAUCCAAUCACAUCAUGCCUCAUUACCCUAUGCUUAUAAAACCCAUUGCAGCCCCCAGCUCACGGAGACAGAGCAGAGAGCUUCCUCCUCUCUCCUUGUGAGUUGACUCACAAUACAUCUUUCUCACUGCGAAAAUCCAGUGCUUCAGCGUUAUAUUUGUUAAGGUGGAUUUUAUGACCCAGAAUAUGAUCUGUCUUGAUGAAUGUUCCAUGUGAGCUUGAGAAGAUUGUGUAUUUUGCUGUUGUUGAAAGGAUUAUUAAUAAAUGUCAAU
rnacentral:lncRNA from 1 species